AAUGACUGAUUUACGCUCCUGUAUUGGCUGCCCCAGUCCCUAACAAAUAUUUUAUUGUCCAUAUAGAUGCUUCCAUGUUUGGACUGGGGGCAGUUUUGAGCCAGGUUGGAGAGGACGGAGGAGAGCACCCUAUAGCGUACCUUAGCCAAAAACUACUACCCCUAGAAGGAAGUUAUGCGGUAGUGGAGAAGGAGUGUCUGGUCUUCGUGUGGGCAUUUAAAAAAAUUGACUCCCUAUUUGUACAGACAGGAAUUUACCAUUAUUUUUUUGUAUGUCCC